rnacentral:rRNA from 1 species
GACGAACGCUGGCGGCGUGCUUAACACAUGCAAGUCGAACGGUGAAGCGAGUGCUUGCACUCGUGGAUCAGUGGCGAACGGGUGAGUAACACGUGAGUAACCUGCCCAUCACUCUGGGAUAAGCACUGGAAACGGUGUCUAAUACUGGAUACGACCAACCCUUGCAUGGGGUGUUGGUGGAAAGAUUUAUCGGUGUUGGAUGGACUCGCGGCCUAUCAGCUUGUUGGCGGGGUAAUGGCCCACCAAGGCGACGACGGGUAGCCGGCCUGAGAGGGUGACCGGCCACACUGGGACUGAGACACGGCCCAGACUCCUACGGGAGGCAGCAGUGGGGAAUAUUGCACAAUGGGCGAAAGCCUGAUGCAGCGACGCCGCGUGAGGGAUGACGGCCUUCGGGUUGUAAACCUCUUUCAGCAGGGAAGAAGCGAAAGUGACGGUACCUGCAGAAGAAGCACCGGCUAACUACGUG